AGGUGAUCCACAGGUCUGGGCUGCUCUGACAUACCCAGGACUGCAGGUUGAUGUAUUGGAAAACGAACGCAUAUAGAAGGUUGGCCUCAGGUUAUCUGCUGCGUGUCUCUUCCCCUGUGAGUGCUGGGGCGCAGCUUCCAGCCUGCGUGGCAAGAGGAAAGGGCCAACACAGCAGCUGCUCCAGGCUUCAACCAAAACUGAAGUUCAUGGAGCUUUGGAGGCCUGUUUUUCAUCCUAACUUAUUCCCUGAGGUCAAAUAUGUUUAAGCACGGGAGUCCCGGUGAGCAGCACAUCUCUACAUUGUCUGGUCCAAAGCCGUGCCUCGAGCAAAUGUCGUCGUAAGGCAGAAGGUGUGAGGGGCCGCUGAGGGCCGGAGAAAGACGUGAAGCUGCUGGGUACUGCUGGCCGGGAGCUGUGAGAGGGAAACUGAAGAAAUAUUCAGAUAAGUUGGAAAUGGUCCUAUUGCACAAGAAUGAGAAAUUAUCUACGUGGUGGUUCUGUGAUAUUGUUCCUCAGCUGCAGUCCUUGGGAGAUCGCCACAACUGUUCACAUUCAAACAAAAGGAGUCUAAUGAAAGUAUUUUAAUCUGCUGAUCAGCUAUUCAGAGAGAAAGGGAUGGCCGUGCUAGGUGUCUUUGGAGACUGGAAACGAGUGCCGCAAUGCCGGAUUCCACUCGUGCACGAACUCAUGCCCCACCAAGAACCACAGCAGGAGGGCUGGUUGAGCACAGCAAGAGUAAAUGCAGGAUUUAUCUUCUGCUUUUGAGAAAAUCCACACGUUUUACCAAAAGGACAAACGAUAGCAACGUUGACACAUCCCUUCUUGUGAACAAGGAAAUUGAAAAGUCCGUAAGUAAAAAGCUUUCGUGGCCACUUGCGGUGAUUACACCGAUUUACUCCAUGAGAUUGAGGGUGUCAGACGCUGAGUUAGUGUUGACAAUCCUCUGCUCGUCCUUAAGCUGA